AGAAAUGAACGCUGGCGGCGUGCUUUACACAUGCAAGUUGAGCGAGGCCACCCGCAAGGGUGAGUCGAGCGGCGAACGGGUGAGUAACGCGUGGAUGACCUGCCCUUUAGUGGGGAAUAACCCGGGGAAACUCGGGCUAAUACCGCAUAAGACCGAGAGGUGAAAGGCGGGGGUCGCAAGAUCUCGUGCGUAAAGGAGGGGUCCGCGUUCGAUUAGCUAGUUGGUAGGGUAAUGGCCUACCAAGGCGACGAUCGAUAGCCGGCCUGAGAGGGUGA
rnacentral:rRNA from 1 species